GUUAUUUAUGUACCAAGGGCACAAAGAAGAUGUUUAUAUUCGAGGGCAACGUUUACAAAAUCGAGGGCCUCUGGCCCGAGAUUUUGUAAGUUGCCCGAGAUUUAUAAACAUCAAGUUGUGCCCGUGGUGCAUACAAACUUUUAUUUUUCACGAGAAAAUCUAAAAAAAAACACUAAUUUAUAUAAUUAAUUCGUAAAAAAAAAAUUUACGUGGCGUUGAUUUUGUUGUCAAGGAGAUUCUAUGUUUAUUGCAAACACGGCGUCUAUUCACGGUGUCAACACGUAUAUUUUCGACCGCGGAAAUGAAUGAGGAAAAUUGUGAAAUUCCAGAAAACAUUGUGAAGAAAGCGCAAAAAGCCAAUGAAAAUGUGUUACCUGGAACAUCAGGAUCCAUAUAUGAAAAAGAAUACAAAAUUUUCCUUAAUUGAAAGAUUAAGAAGUGGCUUACUUCCAAGAAUUGUCAGAAAAAUAUUCACCCAGUUCCUCAUGGUGAAAAUACUCGAUGGUCAAGGCAACUUUAAGAGUAAACGACAACAUAGACAUUUCUAAUUAUCAUCGUUUGACAUAUUUCUAUAAAGAACCCAAAAGGUUAUGUGGCAAAAAAAUCCCGAGUUUUGACUGGCGGACAAGUCACGCAAUUUGUAAAAGAUGCUUCCGACAACAGAUAUUUACUUCAGAAGUAAAGGUAGUUGGAGGAUGAGUGAACACAAUUCUAGAUUUUUAUACAGGGUGUCCCAGAAUUCGCGCCAUUCCCGUGAAUGACAUGUUCCCUGUCCCGAACUGUGCCGUAAUUCGCAAAAAGAAUUGUCCAGGCUUUAACCGUGUGAGAACUGGAAGGCGAUUAAGUUGACCAAUAGAGAGGCUGCUUUUAUAUCCGAACGUUUCUAUGUUCAAAGUUACCUAUGCCAAGAACAAAAAAUCGGGUAAUACUAAAGUUGAAUGAAUUUUUUUCCGAAUCCCCCUCCGUCAACGAAAGGAAACAGAAAUGUGGUUAUAAAUUUAAUCAUUUUGACAGUUGUUUGUCAUAAACUGUCACGAAGUUUAUCACUGACCUGAAGAGACGCUUCUGCGCCAGAGAUGACUGAUUAAUGUACACAGAGAUAUCAAGGUUUACUUUAAGGCAAGUAGCAUGGGACAGAAGUUAUUUCUGCUGCCAUUCUAGUUAAAUUGUGUUUAACUGGACUAUACAUGUCAUAAGAGAAGCUGUUUCAUUUCAUCGUAGGCAAAUAAUACAUUUAUUACUAUUCUACAUAGAGUAGCUACCGAAGAGCAGGUAUUAGAAGUCAUUUUCUUAGAGCCCCGUGAAUAAUCGUCGGCACCUAGACCAACAUGUGUUUCACCGAUUGUUACAUCGAGCAAGAGAAGAUGGAUCUUUUCAACCUAGUCGGAAAGGCCGUGCUGGGGCUCUACGGAAUGUACGUGUAGGUGCUGAAGAGCAAGUGUUAGAAAACAUGGAAGCGGAUCCUAGGAGAAGUGUCCUCUACGUAGCGCAAAUGAGUGAAUGCUCAAGAUCGACCACUCAUCGUAUUCUUCAAGAGAGAAGACUGCAUCCUUACCAUUACACGAGAGUGCAGCAUCUGCGACCAACCGACUAGUCGCGACGAGUACAUUUUGCUCAAUGGUUACUGCGACAAAAUGAACUAAACCCUGAUUUUACACGGCGCAUUCUUUUCACCGACGAAUGUUCAUUUUCCCGAGAAGGAAUGUUUAAUGCACACAAUUGGCAUUUCUGGGCACACGCAAAUCCACAUCUCACUAGGGUGAGAGCAUAUCAGGAGCGAUUUACUAUUAAUCUAUGGGCUGGAAUCAAUGAUACUACUGUGGUGGGGCCGUUUGUGUUACCUGAUCGCCUUACAUUCUCCAUAAAUUAACAUCAUUUCCAAAUAUUCUUUAUACUAGUAUGAAUAAGACAUCAAUAACUUAGUGGUAUUGGUACUGAUUUGUUUAUAGUUUGUAUUGUUCUUAACAAAAAUUGCAACUAAACGAUUUUUGUUAUAAUUUUUAUUCGUAUCUUUUCAAUCUCUAGAAAGUACUCACAACUUUAAAGAAACUGUUUUGAAUCAUCAUGUGCAACAUCAAUAUUAUUCUUGAAUAAGUCUCAGUUUUCAGUAUCUCCCCCACAUGAUUGACACCACAGCAGAUACCUAUGAUCUUAAUACACCAGAGAAGUGGAGUCUCGUCUCUUUUUUCGUUGCUUAGAUUAGGUAUCAGCAACAAAGCUGUUCAGUAAAAAUUGAUACUGUUUAUUGAAAAUCAUAAGCACCGAUUAAUCAAAAGCGAUAUUUAUGUUUUAGUACACUUAAUAACGUUCUUUGAAUGGACAUGUGGUACUCUUUUUUAGAAAUAACGAUAAACUUAAUAUCAGGCAUAUGAUGCAUAGUGAAUUCUGAAAAUGUACUAAUUUUCGUUAAAAAGAACAACACAUUAUUCACGGGGCUCUAAGAAAAUGACUUCUAAUACCUGCUCUUCGGUAUCUACACUAUGUAGAAUAGUAACAAAUGUAUUACUUGCCUACGAUGAAAUGAAACAGCUUCUCUUAUGACAUGUACAGCCCAGUUAAACACAAUUUAACUAUAAUGGCAGCAGAAAUAACUUCUGUCCCAUGCUACUUGCCUUAAAGUAAACCUUGACGUCUCUGUGUACAUUAAUCAGUCAUCUUUGGCGCAGAAGCAUCUCUUCAGGUCAGUGAUGAACUUCGUGACAGUUUAUGACAAACAAUUGUCAAAAUGAUUAAAUUUAUAACCACACUUCUGUUUCCUUUUAUUGACGGAGGGGGAUUCGGAAAAAAAUUCAUUCAACUUUAGUAUUACCCGAUUUUUUGUUCUUGGCAUAGGUAACUUUGAACAUAGAAACGUUCGGAUAUAAAAGCAGCCUCUCUAUUGGUCAACUUAAUCGCCUUCCAGUUCUCACAGGGUUAAAGCCUGGACAAUUCUUUUUGCGAAUUACGGCACAGUUCGGGACAGGGAACAUGUCAUUCACGGGAAUGGCGCGAAUUCUGGGACACCCUGUAUAAUACGUUAUUCGGUGCUAGCAGAAUGGAAGCAGAGGCAGAAAUAAUUCCAAUAGAGGCACCUCCGAAAAGUUUAAGUUUACCUGAAUAGU